UUAACUUAUUAAGUUAUAGGUUCAGAAAUUCAAGAAUAAACAGAGUUUGCUGGUCCACUGGCAGGCUCACCGCGCUUACCGGGUAGGCCUUACAGGGUAGGGCUGUUCCAGGUAGGCGCGAACUGCCGAGGCAACUUGAGGUAUGUUCACAUGGGUUUGGGAGUUUUUUAGAACUCUAUAAUGAUCCCUCCGCUGGUUCACCAACGGAGA
rnacentral:misc_RNA from 1 species